rnacentral:misc_RNA from 1 species
GAUGAAGAACGUAGCGAAAUGCGAUAAGUUAUGUGAAUUGCAGAAUUCAGUGAAUCAUCGAAUCUUUGAACGCACAUUGCGCCCGCCAGUAUUCUGGCGGGCAUGCCUGUUCGAGCGUCAUUUCAACCAUCAAGCCCUGCUUGCGUUGGGGUCCUGCGGCUGCCCGCAGGCCCUGAAAACCAGUGGCGGGCUCGCUAGUCACACCGAGCGCAGUAAUACAUCUCGCUUUGGGCGUGCGGCGGGUUCUUGCCGUUAAACACCCCCUUUUUACCAAGGUUGACCUCGGAUCAGGUAGGAAUACCCGCUGAACUUAAGCAUAUCAAUAAGCGGAGGA